rnacentral:rRNA from 1 species
UACGUAGGGUGCGAGCGUUUGUCCGGAAUUAUUGGGCGUAAAGGGUGCGUAGGCGGCGCGGUAAGUCGGGUGUGAAAUCUCGGGGCUUAACUCCGAAACUGCAUUCGAUACUGCCGUGCUUGAGGACUGGAGAGGAGACUGGAAUUUACGGUGUAGCGGUGAAAUGCGUAGAUAUCGUAAGGAAGACCAGUGGCGAAGGCGG